rnacentral:rRNA from 1 species
GAGUUUGAUCCUGGCUCAGGGUGAACGCUGGCGGCGUGCUAACACAUGCAAGUCGAACGAUGAUAGAAGAGCUUGCUUUUCUUGAUUAGUGGCGCACGGGUGAGUAAUGCAUAGAUAAUGUGCCCCUUAGUUCGGGAUAGCCACUGGAAACGGUGAUUAAUACCGGAUACUCCUUCUUGUUAUAAGACAAGUCGGGAAAGUUUUUCGCUAAGGGAUCAGUCUAUGUUCCAUCAGCUUGUUGGUGAGGUAAUGGCUCACCAAGGCUAUGACGGAUAUCUGGUUUGAGAGGAUGAUCAGACACACUGGAACUGAGACACGGUCCAGACUCCUACGGGAGGCAGCAGUGAGGAAUAUUGCACAAUGGAGGAAACUCUGAUGCAGCAACGCCGCGUGGAGGAUGACGCAUUUCGGUGUGUAAACUCCUUUUAUUAGGGAAGAUAAUGACGGUACCUAAUGAAUAAGCACCGGCUAACUCCGUGCCAGCAGCCGCGGUAAUACGGAGGGUGCAAGCGUUACUCGGAAUCACUGGGCGUAAAGGGUGCGUAGGCUGGCUUUUAAGUCAGAUGUGAAAUCCAAUGGCUCAACCAUUGAACUGCAUUUGAAACUGAAAGCCUAGAGUUCAGAAGGGGCAGAUGGAAUUAGUGGUGUAGGGGUAAA